rnacentral:rRNA from 1 species
CUACGGGACGCACCAGUGGGGAAUAUUGCACAAUGGACGAAAGUCUGAUGCAGCAACGCCGCGUGGAGGAUGACACAUUUCGGUGCGUAAACUCCUUUUAUAUAAGAAGAUAAUGACGGUAUUAUAUGAAUAAGCACCGGCUAACUCCGUGCCAGCAGCCGCGGUGAAUACGGGGGGUGCAAGCGUUACUCGGAAUCACUGGGCGUAAAGCGCAUGUAGGCGGACUUGUAAGUUGGAAGUGAAAUCCUAUGGCUCAACCAUAGAACUGCUUCCAAAACUGCUUGUCUAGAAUAUGGGAGAGGUAGAUGGAAUUUCUGGUGUAGGGGUAAAAUCCGUAGAGAUCAGAAGGAAUACCGAUUGCGAAGGCGAUCUACUGGAACAUUAUUGACGCUCAGAUGCGAAAGCGUGGGGAGCAAACAGGAUUAGAUACCCCCGUAGUC